rnacentral:lncRNA from 1 species
GGGGUGGGGAGAGAAGCGCUGUGAACCAGCGGGAGGCAAGCGAGCGAGGUCUCCGCCGCCCAAUGAACGUGACGAGACCUGGCCACCGGGCCAUGGGGCCCGCCGGGUGGGGCCGCGGCGUGGCAGAUGCGUGGUCCUCGCUCCAGGCUGUAGUUCCUGCCCUGGGCCCUGGCCGGGCCGCACUCCAGACCCACCACCCCGCCUUGCCAGCCGGCUUGCGGGCUGGGAAGUCCCGGCUGAGCUAGGCCGGAGAAAGACUGUGGAGGUGUUCGAUUUUCUCGGCUCCCUCCCCUACCCCCGCCCCGCCUUGAGGGUAUCCCUCACACCUGCCGGGGAGAGAGGAGUCACUCGCUUGCCCGAAGGCCGGCGGGGCUGGCUUACCUGAUUUCUCGUCACCUGCCCCCGAAUCUGGCCUCCCCUAUUCGGCAGAAAGCCUUUUCUUGGCCUAGAAACGCGUCUGGGAGAGGCCGACGGACCCCUGGGCCCCCACUGUCAGAGCCAAAGCCUUCGCCAGGGCUCCCCCCCCCCCCGCCGUCCCCCCGUCCCUGCUCUCUGGAGGUGCUCCUGGCCUGCUGACACUGCGCCUCCGCCCCCCACCCCCCACCCGGCAGCGUCAGCGGGGAGACCCGCAGGGAAGAUCAAACCCAAGCUUUAGGGGACGGGAUGCUGAGCUUAGGCUCCUCAGGCCCAGCCUUGUACAGGUGGGGGGAGGGGAGAGCCCAGGCAGCAGAGUAGCAGGCUUCCCCGUUGUACCCCAAAUCCGACCCUGCCCACUGAGCAUGCCCAGCUCACUUGUUGGAAACUCCAAGUGCUAGAGGAGCUCGAGGGGACCCAAGGAAGGCUAAGAUGGGGUUCAAAUGGAUCCAUUUCUUUAAGGUCUUUCCCACGAAGAUCUCUGGGAGCUUUGCACAUAAUGUUUCUACCGUGGUGCUAUUGGAAAAUACCCAGGAAGAGUUGGAAAGGCCUUUCGAAAAAUGGGGUGGGGGCAGCCAGAUUAGUUCCAAAGAAUAGAAAGCAUGGGUUUUUUUCAGCCAAUUAUUUAUUAAGUCAUUCACUAAUUUCUUUACAUUCCAAAUAAUUAUUAUAAUUGACCAGGAAAUGUGUAGAUUCAUGGAGUCUCAAAUGGUACCAGGAAACCAGCCCAUCCAAUGGGUAGUCUAUCGAGUGGAACAGUGGUUCUCAGCCUUGGAUACACAUUACCAUGGGGGAUGGGGGAGGGGUAUUAAAUGAUCAGUGCCAGGUUCCCAUCCCCUGGAUCCAUGGAAUCAGUCCACGAUGGAACCUAGAAAUCUUUAUAUUUUAAAACUGUGUGUCUCAAAGUGUACCUGGGGGAGCCAGCGGAAGUGGGCAUUACCAGAGAAUUCUGGGGCCAGGGCCUAGCUGAUUGAACAAGUCAUUCCAGAGAUUCAGAUGCACGAUAUCUCUUGAGAACCACUGUUGAAAGCUCCCCCAGAUGACUCACAUGAGCACCCAGGCAGGGUUGAGAACCCCUGUAAUAGAUCAUUGCUUUUACAUGUUUUCAUAUUCUAAAGAUGUGAACAACAUGUUACACAGAAAAGUAAUAAUCAUGUUGAUUUCUGAUGCCAGUCCAGGAUUACCUUCCCACUAAUUCUCCAGGAACAUUUCAGUACUUGGAGACCACCUAUUAUUAUUCACUUUUGUACUUCGGUGCCUAGCACAGUGCCUGUAGCGUAAUAGAUAUUUGAUCAUUGUUUAUUGGUAUGAAAUGAAUGCCUAGGGUAAGAUUUGUUCUAGGCCCUGUUAUGUCCACGGUUUAUUUUCCCCACAAGUCCUAAUCACCUUGCUAGCUAACAAGCCAGGAGGGAUUCAGAUCUCAUCAAUAAGCUGUGACCAUCCAUGAUGGUCCAAUACAAGUCUGACCCUGACAGAAUAGGACGGGGGGAGGUAGAGAAUUUUAAGGAAAGGAAAGUCAGAAGCAUCAGUCAUGAUUUCACUUGCCAAACUUGGGGCCCAAAGCAACCAGAGGAAAGCAGAAGGACACUAGACAUCAGUGGAAUUCAGGAAAGGCAUUGAAGGAAAAAAUGGGAGGGCUUAAGGGAGGAGAGAUAAGAAAGCUUAACAUGAUAAACAUACAACUUAACUCUAGAUCUUUUCAUUCUAAACGACCUACCUCAGCCCUCUUCUUCCCCAUGUUUCAGACACAACCAAUCUCAGCUAAAGCCUUGAAAAACAAUUUUUUAAAAUUAGAGAUUGUUAUAAAAUAGUUAUGUCCCAUGCAUAAACACAUAGCAGAUUUGUAAUUAUUCAACAUAGGUUAACCAUCCACUUUUAUUCAAGACAAAAGUGGUUUUAAAACAUUAAAUGUAUAUAGUGGAUAAUUUUUAAAUGCAGAGGUUUAUAAUACUUCUGCUUUAAGAGCCACAGAGACGUACACAAUCAAGAAGUACUCCACAUUUACUCCAUCAAUAUUUUCUAGAAAGAAUUAAGCGUAAAAAUAAAAUUUUCCUUUAGCCUUAAACAUAACGCUUUAAAAUUGAGGAUAUGAUUUAUGAGUACUUAAAGUGGCUUUCCCCCUGUCUCUUUCUGCCCCUGUGUCUUCCUUAUUUUUUUCAAAUUUUUUUUCUUUUGUCUUUUUGCCUUUUAUAAGGCCACUUCCAAGGCAUAUGGAGUUUCCCAGACUAGGGGUCCAAUCAGAGCCGCAGCUGCCGGCCUACACCAGGGCCACAGCAACUCGGGAUCCGAGCCACCUCUGCAACCUACAUCACAGCUCACGGCAAUGCUGGAUCCUUAACCCACUGAGCAAGGCCAGGGAUCAAACCCACAACCUCAUGGUUCCUAGUCAGAUUCGUUAACCACUGUGCCACAAUGGGAACUCCUGUGUCUUCCUUAUUAUGAUAAGAAUUCCACUGAGGAGUUCUCAUUGUGGCACAGCAGAAAUGAAUUCGAUUAGUAUCCAUGAGGAUGUGGAUUCAAUCAUUGGCCUCGUUCAAUGGGUCAGGGAUCUGGUGUUGCCAUGAGCUGAGAUGUAGGUCUUAGACAAGGUUCAUAUCUGGCAUUUCUGUAACUGUGGCGUAGGCUGGAAGCUGAGGCUCCAAUUCGACCCCCCUUGCAUGGAAACUUACAUAUGCCACGAGUGCAGCCCUAAAAAG